rnacentral:rRNA from 1 species
GAUGAACGCUGGCGGCGUGCCUAAUACAUGCAAGUCGAGCGAACAGACGAGGAGCUUGCUCCUCUGACGUUAGCGGCGGAAGGGUGAGUAACACGUGGAUAACCUACCUAUAAGACUGGGAUAACUUCGGGAAACCGGAGCUAAUACCGGAUAAUAUAUUGAACCGCAUGGUUCAAUAGUGAAAGACGGUUUUGCUGUCACUUAUAGAUGGAUCCGCGCCGCAUUAGCUAGUUGGUAAGGUAACGGCUUACCAAGGCAACGAUGCGUAGCCGACCUGAGAGGGUGAUCGGCCACACUGGAACUGAGACACGGUCCAGACUCCUACGGGAGGCAGCAGUAGGGAAUCUUCCGCAGUGGGCGAAAGCCUGACGGAGCAACGCCGCGUGAGUGAUGAAGGUCUUCGGAUCGUAAAACGCUGUUAUUAGGGAAGAACAAAUGUGUAAGUAACUAUGCACGUCUUGACGGUACCUAAUCAGAAAGCCACGGCUAACUACGU